rnacentral:rRNA from 1 species
UACAGAGGUCUCAAGCGUUGUUCGGAUUCAUUGGGCGUAAAGGGUGCGUAGGUGGCGAGGCAAGUCAGAUGUGAAAUCCCGGGGCUCAACCCCGGAACUGCAUUUGAAACUGCCUUGCUCGAGUACUGGAGAGGAGACUGGAAUUUACGGUGUAGCAGUGAAAUGCGUAGAUAUCGUAAGGAAGACCAGUGGCGAAGGCGAAUCUCUGGACAGUUACUGACACUGAGGCACGAAGGCCAGGGGAGCAAACGGG